GGAAGAGUGGCAGAGUGGUCGAUUGCACCGGUCUUGAAAACCGGCGAUGGGAAACCAUCCGUGAGUUCGAAUCUCACCUCUUCCGCCA
rnacentral:tRNA from 1 species